rnacentral:rRNA from 1 species
GUAGUCAUAUGCUUGUCUCAAAGAUUAAGCCAUGCAUGUCUAAGUAUAAGCAACUAUACUGUGAAACUGCGAAUGGCUCAUUAAAUCAGUUAUCGUUUAUUUGAUAGUACCUUACUACUUGGAUAACCGUGGUAAUUCUAGAGCUAAUACAUGCGAAAAACCCCGACUUCGGAAGGGGUGUAUUUAUUAGAUAAAAAACCAAUGCCCUUCGGGGCUCCUUGGUGAUUCAUAAUAACUAAACGAAUCGCAUGGCCUUGCGCCGGCGAUGGUUCAUUCAAAUUUCUGCCCUAUCAACUUUCGAUUGUAGAGUAGUGGUCUACAAUGGUUUCAACGGGUAACGGGGAAUUAGGGUUCGACUCCGGAGAGGGAGCCUGAGAAACGGCUACCACAUCCAAGGAAGGCAGCAGGCGCGCAAAUUACACAAUCCCGACACGGGGAGGUAGUGACAAUAAAUACUGAUACAGGGCUCUUUUGGGUCUUGUGAUUGGAAUGAGUACAAUUUAAAUCCCUUAACGAGGAACAACUGGAGGGCAAGUCUGGUGCCAGCAGCC